GUGUUUUUGUAAAUAUUUUCUCUGAGUCUGUGGCUUGUAUUCUCUUUUCAUUCUCUUGACACUGUCUUUUGCAGAGUAGAAUUUUUAAUUUUAAUGAAGUCCAGCUUAUCAAUUUUUUUCAUGAAUUUUAUCUUUAGCAUUGUGUUUUAAAAAUUAUAUGCAUAGCCAGACCCGUCUAGGUUUUUCUCAUAGGUUAUCUUCUAGGACUCAAAGACAGUCCACUUUGAGUUAAUUUUUGUGAAGGGUGUAAGGCCUAUGUCUAGAUUCUCUCCCUCUCUUUCUGCAUAUAGAUGUUCAACUGUUUCAGCACCAUUGGUUAAAAAUAAUAGUGCAUUGCCUUCAUUCUUUUGUUGUAGAUCAGUUGACUAUAUUUAUAAGGGUCUGUUUCUUGGCUCUCUAUUCUGUUCCAUUGACCUAUUUGUCUCCUCCAUUGCCAGUACCCUACUGUCUUGAUUAAUAUUCAAUUUGGGAAGAAUUGACAUCUUGAUAAUAUGAUUUUCUUAUCUACAAACGUGGACUAUCUCUCUAUUUAUUUCUUGAUAAUUUUGUUCAUCAGAGUAUUGUUUCUGUUUCAUGUUUUGGCUUUUUGGCUGUGAGUCCUGUGGGAUCUUAGCUCUCAAUCAGGGAUUGAGCCCAUAUAUCCUGCCCUGGAAGGCAUUCUCAACCACCGGACUACCAGGGAAUCCCUCCUGCGCUAAUUAAUUUAUCCAGCCCUGCCUAUCUUGGAAGAAGAGGUGAAGACACAGACAUGCACAGAGGAAAGACAGUGUGAUGACACAAGGAGAAAACGACCACCUUCACACCGAGUAGAGAUGCCUUUGAGGAGACCCGCGCUGCUGACAC
ensembl:lncRNA